rnacentral:lncRNA from 1 species
CUCUGUCAUAAUCUGGAAUGAUGAUAUCAAUCAAGUGAAGCAGCUAUCACAGGGUCUGGAACAUAGUACAUCCCAGCCUUCUUGCACAUAGAAACACUACACAGCACUUCAGCUGUAUGUUUGGGGGCCAUUUUAAACAGCAAAAUCAUCAACAGGAAGCAGAAAAUUGUAAAAAUUGUGGCACUAAAUAGACCAUGUAAAGGACACAUGUUUGCAAUAAGAAAGCUGAAACAAGAAGGGGGAGUGUCACCUUAUUUGAUCCAGCUAGAAACUCAGGUGCUGGUAUUCCAGCAACACUCAGGCGGCUGCUCCAGGAGGCUGCAGAGGGGUCCUUUUUAGCCGUCAACAAAACUGGCUAUGGUCACGCCCAUUGGGAAACUCAUUGCUGCCUUCAAGGACUCAGAAGCUGUAGGAAUAUUCAGGCACAGACACCAGACCCAGCUUCAUCUCUAACUUGUGGCAAAGGACAGUACAUCCUGGGAUGGGACCCUAUGCUCCCCUAUGCCAUUUAGACAGAGCCUGGGGAGAGUGACUUCCCAGGGUAUCCAUGUUGGAAUCUCUCAUUUGAUUCUUAUUCAAAUUUAGGUUCUGUCAAUAGAAGAUACUAAAGAAAGAAAGCCAGGAGAAGAAAAGGGACUUCUUUCUUCAAGGUCUAAGCUGUUCUAAUAGCAUUAUUCUGGGAAUGGCAUCUUCCACUCCUCCUAGUACAAAGAACCUGCUUCCUCAUACCCCGUCAAGGAACUGCAGCAUCCAGAAUACAUUCAUACCUAACACCUCAAUAGAUGACAUGUUAUCCAUGGAAUCGAGUUCAAAGCCCUCUGUAACGUGGCUAUAUCCCAUCUACUCUGAGCUGAUGUUCAGCAGGUGAUGGCCACAGUGGCAGAACCUAGGAAGCCAAGAAGAAACCAGAGAAUGGAGACACAUGGCAGCAAUGGCAAGUCAUCAGACCCAGGAUUUCCCAAAGAACACUGGUCCAGGAAGAUGCUCUGUGAAAAAGUGUUCCCUGGUCGGAGAAAUUUGUGAAACACUUUGCAUAAUACUUAAAAGAAUGUAUGGCACAUCAAAGAUCUUAUAACAGUCUCCGCAGGAAGCAGCUGCAGUCAUUAGCCAUAGGACAGACUAAACACACAAUCUGCAUGGAAGGAGGCCUGGAUCAGCUUGGUCUUUCAGAUCUCUAAUCUCAGGCACAGGAAAGCACCAUCAACAGCACCCUUUGUAUAUAUACAUAAAGGUAACAUAUUUUAUCAUUUAAAGGGAUUUGAGAAAUUGAAGAGGCCCAACUCUUUUUCUGCCUUCUUUGGUUUGAGGCUUAGAUUGCUUAAGGGGCUUGCCCAGGAUCACAUAUCUUGUAAGAGACAGAGCAAGGAUUCAAAGCCAGUGCUGGCUUCUGUGUCUCCAUUCUUUCCAUUCUCCUCCAGUGGCUCUUUUGGGAAGCUGAGGGAGGAACAGCAGCAGAAUUGGGUGGCACCUGCCCAUGCCCAUCAUGC